CUACGACGUUCACAAGAUCUGGAAGAUGAACAACCUAUGGGUAACAUUUCUCUUCCUAGCCUCCGUUUCGCUCUGUUGUUCCAUUCUUAUCAAGACACUGCAGUUGUCAUACCUCAAUCGGUGAAGGCUCCAAGGAGUUCCCUCCCCACUAGGAGCUUAGAAGAAGAGACAGGGAAUGGUGAUUUGGAUGCAGUUGCUAAUGUGACCAAGCAAACUGCGGGUGGGAGUGUGUGUGCAAAAUCAGGAGAGGAUAAACAUGCAGAAGUGAGCGGUGAAGAGAAUGUUGAGGCUAUAAAGCCUGUGGAGGCAAGUUCUCUAGACGUUCUAGCUGCAAGAUGGUUCCAAUGAGCUUGAGCAAGGUAAUGAUGCCAAUUUGGCAUAAACUGACAAAUUAAGAAUCAAAUUGAGGUUGUCUAUGAUGAAAAUGAGGAUGACCAAAUUGGAGGCGAUAAUCAUGCAAGAUUUUUUUUGUUUACUGGAGGAUGACCAAACUGGAUCUUAUUGCGGUUUCUUUACAGGAAAGUCCGGAUGAUGAACAUGAAUUUGAAAUAUAUGAUAAUAUCAUGCAAGAACUUUUUUAUGUUUAGUCAACCGAAGAUGAAAUUUUCUUGUUUUCAACAAGGCAUAUUUUAUUGUGUGUCACCACUGGUUAGUGGUUACUGAAACAUGAAUGUUUGUUUUCUGUUGUACCUUGUAGGUGAGUCGUCUAAUGGAUUUAAUGGUCUGAAGUCUGUAUAGUCACAAGGAAUUUUAUAAGGAAUUUUUAUUGCGCCUAAUAUUCAGUUAUAUAUCUUCAGCACGUUUCAUCAGGAUUGGAAUUAAAUAUAUUGCUGCGAUGUGUGAUAGAUCAUCGGCGAGGCAAGAUACUCGGUGGAGGACAUCGUGAAUUCAUAUAAUCAAUCCCUGGCAUAAUGCCUCAUCAUUGGGUAAUAAUAGUACUUGUUUUCUUAUGUUUAUCUUUCAUACUCUGGAACUGUUGAGCUCAGGUAUGAGUACUCCUUUUUAGGAUAGGAGAGAGGAUACUACUCUACAACUUUCACAUUUAGGAAGCAUAAAAGGAAACAAGCAGAGAUCGAUUAUAUGUGUAUCUAAUCAUUAUGUAGUUGAUAAAAACAUGCCUUUGAGUGAUGAUUUGUGAUGUAAUAACCUCCCAUUUUUAGAAAUAUCAACCAAUAAGUGUUUACUUCCCUUCCAUUUUUUAGAUUUGUGUGGUGCAAACAUAUUAAUAAUAUAUAGAUAUAGUUGCAUACCUACAAAAACAUCAAAUAUAUACACAGUGUUGGAGACCCUUUUGUCCAGUUGAGCAUACGCCAUUGAAGCUGCAGGCCGCAGCAGGAUUACUAAGGAUACACAACUGAAGUUACUUGCAUAGGCGUGGUUGGUGCAAGGUGAUUCUUCCCUACGACGGCUGAGCCAACAGCGAACUGGGAGGUGUUGCGGCUCCUUUGCAACUACACGCACCUUGGUUGUGGUGUCUACCAAUAGUCCAAAAUCAUAUAAACACUAUGUGUGGGAAGUUAUGGCUGGUGGUAGCUCUUUAUGUCAUCAAGGAAGAGAUUGAUCCUCAGAAAAUGCUUACACGUGGAACUCAAAUUACAUUUUUUUCUAAAUGCGCGCAAAGACAUUAUUUGAAGUUUUCUCUUUUAUUUGGCUGAUUACUAUCACAGAACAGCCAGAUGGUUGACAAAGCCAUCCAGGCAAACUCUAGCGAUAAUGAUGAUGAAAAGGUAUGCAUGUUGAAUCAAGUGAUAGGAUGUGUAGGCUCAUAUUCUCGUGGCGUGCAACUUCCAUCUGACCUGAUAUCAAACUGCACCACAACAAUUCUUUCAAUCAAGGUAGACAUCUUAUAGUCGUAGUGAACGAGCAUAAGCCAAGCUAGGAACAAACAAAAAGGAGAAAAUGUUUUGUGUAGAAGAUCCAGUACAAGAGCAUCAUGACUCAAGGCACCAAUAAUAGGAAAGGGCAGAGACUGGAACAACUGAUUUGAGGCUAAUGGCUGUUGGAGGUGCGGAUGGCGACAGGGUAGAUGAAGCUAUUGUGGAAUCGACAGGACGCGUAGGUGUGCCAGAUGUGCCGCGACAUCGUCGCCCUCAGCUGCAACCACUAGGACACCACCGCAUCAGGGACAAUCUGAAUCGAAUAACCAACAGAAAUGUCCUGUAUCCAGUUGAUCAACACCACCUUGAUGAUCCACAUGUUAAAGCCAACUUACUCUUUCAGGCACAUUUCUCCAAAGCAGAACUGCCAAUAAGCGACUAUGUCACUAACUUGAAAUUAGUUCUUGAUCAGAGCAUACAUAUCAUAUAGGCAAUGAUUGAUGUAUGCACCAAUAGUGGAUGGCUUAUGCGUGCAUUGACUUGUAGAUGAUCAUACAUGUGAAUUGCAUUGGAUCAACUUUUCUUUUUUUCAACUAUAUAAAAAUAUAAAAACGAGUCUAAAUCCUUCAUUGGAGAAGGAUUGCAUUGGUUCAUCUUUUCUAUUUUUACCUUGCUAGGGUCUCUGGUUUGAGAGAGAUUAUGAAUCCCUCUAGAUGUUGCCACCCAUGAAUGAUGAUA